UACGUAGGGGGCGAGCGUUGUCCGGAUUUAUUGGGCGUAAAACGCUUGUAGGUGGCUACGUCAAGUCGGACGUGAAAUCUCCCGGCUUAACUGGGAGGGGUCGCUCGAUACUGGCGAGCUCGAGGCAGGUAGGGGGAAGCGGAAUUCCCGGUGUAGUGGUGGAAUGCGUAGAUAUUGGGAAGAACACCAGUGGCGAAGGCGGCUCACUGGCCCGUAACUGACGCUGAGGUGCGAAAGCGUGGGGAGCAAACAGG
rnacentral:rRNA from 1 species